UGAUGAUGGUGAGGGCAAUUUCUUAGCAUCCCCUUAAAUCUCUCCCAAGCUUGGUAGAGAUUUUCUUCUUCUUUCAGCUUGAAACUCAGAAUCUUUCUUUUCAAGCG
rnacentral:snoRNA from 1 species